CUUUAUUGGAGAGUUUGAUCCUGGCUCAGGAUGAACGCUGGCGGCGUGCCUAAUACAUGCAAGUCGAGCGGA
rnacentral:rRNA from 1 species